GUCUCUGUGGCGCAAUCGGUUAGCUCGUUCGGCUAUCAACCGAAGGGCUGGUGGUUCAAGCCCACACUCUGACA
rnacentral:tRNA from 1 species